AGGUCCAAUGUCUUAAGGUCUAAGCAUUGUGUAUGCAAUCUCACAAGGAAAGCUUCCUAAACCUAAAAUCAAGGCCACCAGAGCUAUGGUCCUUUUCACAACUUUUCCACAACAGUUGAUCGCAACUAGGUGUGAAAUUGCAUGUAAAGAGAACAACCAUUGGCUGGGGUUUUCACGAUAGCCAAACUGGAAUUAGUCGAGACGUGACACCGCUACACAACCCCUCUAAUUCUAUGUUGCACUCAGACCCGGGUAUAGGGCCCCACUCAUGAUAUGUACAAUAAUAAUAAUAAUAAAAAGAAUAAAAUACCAAAAUAAAUAAAGACAAUCACAUAUAAACAAAAGGGAAAAUAAAGUAAAAUAAAAAAAGGAAUAAAAUAAAAUAAGAAAAACCACAUCAAUUUUGGACAUUUAAUUAUCAAGGCCUGAUUCUCUAGCGUCCCC
rnacentral:lncRNA from 1 species